rnacentral:rRNA from 1 species
CAAUAAGCGGAGGAAAAGAAACCAACAGGGAUUGCCCCAGUAACGGCGAGUGAAGCGGCAACAGCUCAAAUUUGAAAUCUGGCCCCCCCCGGGGGGGCCCGAGUUGUACUUUGGAGAGGAUGCUUUGGGCGCGGCGCCUUCCGAGUUCCUUGGAACAGGACGCCAGAGAGGGUGAGAGCCCCGUACGGUCGGACGCCUAGCCCGUGCAAAGCUCCUUCGACGAGUCGAGUAGUUUGGGAAUGCUGCUCAAAAUGGGAGGUAAAUUUCUUCUAAAGCUAAAUACCGGCCAGAGACCGAUAGCGCACAAGUAGAGUGAUCGAAAGAUGAAAAGCACUUUGAAAAGAGGGUUAAACAGCACGUGAAAUUGUUGAAAGGGAAGCGCCUGUGGCCAGACGUGCGCCCCGCGGACCACCCGCCGCCCCGGCGGCGGGGCACGCCGCGGGUGCGCAGGCCAGCAUCGGCUUCCCCAGGGGGACAAAGGCCGCGGGAACGUAGCUCCCUCGGGAGUGUUACAGCCCGCGGCGUCAUGCCCCUGGGGGGGCCGAGG